rfam:Gossypium hirsutum cultivar TM-1 chromosome 10, whole genome shotgun sequence
AUUCCAUGAUGAAGGCAUUUCCGUAAUAAUUCUUUGUAUCGUUCCCAUACGUCAUACAAUGACUCAUCAUCCAUUUGCUGGAAGGCAGUGAUCUCGUUCUUCAACUU